UACGUAGGGUGCAAGCGUUUAAUCGGAAUUACUGGGCGUAAAGCGUGCGCAGGCGGUUAUGUAAGACAGAUGUGAAAUGCCCGGGCUUAACCUGGGAACUGCAUUUGUGACUGCAUGGCUAGAGUUUGGCAGAGGGGGGUAGAAUUCCACGUGUAGCAGUGAAAUGCGCAGAUAUCGGGAGGAACACCAAUUGCGAAGGCAGCUCGCUGGGACGUCACUGACGCUGAGACGCGAAAGCGUGGGGAGCAAACAGG
rnacentral:rRNA from 1 species